UGCUCGGCUCUGCUUGUAGAGGU
rnacentral:siRNA from 1 species